rnacentral:rRNA from 1 species
UACAGAGGUCUCAAGCGUUUGUUCGGAUUCAUUGGGCGUAAAGGGUGCGUAGGCGGCGCGGUAAGUCGGGUGUGAAAUCUCGGAGCUUUAACUCCGAAACUGCAUUCGAUACUGCCGUGCUUGAGGACUGGAGAGGAGACUGGAAUUUACGGUGUAGCGGUGAAAUGCGUAGAUAUCGUAAGGAAGACCAGUGGCGAAAGGCGGGUCUCUGGACAGUUCCUGA